ensembl:processed_transcript Gm14617 predicted gene 14617
GGGUAUCCAUCUCUUUCUGAUCUGAUGUAUCAAAGCCCAGCUCCACAAAUCUCCCUCCACUGACACCUGGCACUGUCCUGCUCGGAGAGGACAGUUCAUUUGUUCUGAUUAUGCCAGUGUCCAUUGUCUGUGACCUGUGGCCUUUGUCUGUGACCAUCUUGUGGCCACUGAGGCACACACUCAACCUGAAUCUGGUCCUCCAUUACUAACUCAGCUAAGGCUGGGUUUUCCCUGUGUUCUGUUUUGUGUGAGGACAUGCUGGGGUAUCACAUGUGCUUUCCCUGCCAUGUCUGGUACCACUAUGGCAGAAGGAAAAGGAGCUGAUGACCACAUGUCUACCGCAUUGGCAGCCCUGUGCCAUUUGUUCUUCUCCCUGGGCUUCUCUCCCUCCUCUCUCUCUCUGCCGUGUGACUCCAGGUUGGAUGUGUCCAUGGCUGUCUUGAAGCAGAGUGGCUAUGAUGACCGAUGGGAGGCCCUCACGAGACCCUUGUGGAGGUGGAAGGCCGAUGAAAGACUCUCAGGAGGCCUUCAGAGGACCUCAUGAAGAUAUGUAAGAGGAGCUGCAGGAUGACGCUGGCUUUACAAGAGGAAACAAGUUCGGGUCACAGGUGUCUGUGAGGUACCACCACCCAACCACCGCUAAGCCCCAUUAAAACCACUCUUUAUUGAUUUAUUACGGGUCUUCUACCACCAGCAACGUUUGCACAAAACAAAAACCCUGGAGGCUGGAGACAGCUCAGUUGAUCAAGUUCUUGCUGUACAAGCAGGAGGCUGAAAAUACUCCCCAGAACCAAGGAG